rnacentral:rRNA from 1 species
AUUGAACGCUGGCGGCAGGCCUAACACAUGCAAGUCGAGCGGAUGAGAAGAGCUUGCUCUUCGAUUCAGCGGCGGACGGGUGAGUAAUGCCUAGGAAUCUGCCUGGUAGUGGGGGACAACGUUUCGAAAGGAACGCUAAUACCGCAUACGUCCUACGGGAGAAAGCAGGGGACCUUCGGGCCUUGCGCUAUCAGAUGAGCCUAGGUCGGAUUAGCUAGUUGGUGAGGUAAUGGCUCACCAAGGCGACGAUCCGUAACUGGUCUGAGAGGAUGAUCAGUCACACUUGAACUGAGAAACGGUCCAGACUCCCACGGGGGGCAGCAGUGGGGAAUAUUGGACAAUGGGCGAAAGCCUGAUUCAGCCAUGCCGCGUGUGUGAAGAAGGUCUUCGGAUUGUAAAGCACUUUAAGUUGGGAGGAAGGGCAGUAAGUUAAUACCUUGCUGUUUUGACGUUACCGACAGAAUAAGCACCGGCUAACUCUGUGCAAGCAGCCGCCGUAA